AGUAGCGGUGAAAUGCGUAGAUAUCUGGAGGAAUACCAAAGGCGAAGGCAGUCCCCUGGUCCGAUACUGACACUGAGGUACGAAAGCGUGGGGAGCAAACAGGAUUAGAUACCCUGGUAGUCCACGCCCUAAACGAUGUCGAUUAGCCAUUGGAAGGACCCCUUUUCCUUUCAGUGACGUAGCUAACGCGUUAAAUCGACCGCCUGGGAAGUACGACCGCAAGGUUAAAACUCACAGGAAUUGACGGGGACCUGAACAAGCGGUGAAUGAUGUGGAUUAAUUCGAUGCUACGCGAAGAACCUUACCUACCUUUGACAUGGCCAAAGUUCUACCGAGAGGCGGAAGUACUCGUAAGAGGAUUGGCGCACAGGUGCUGCAUGGUUGUCGUCGGUUCGUGUCGUGAGAUGUUGGGUUCAGUCCCGCAACGAACGCAACCCUUAUCUUUAAUUGCUCCUAUUUUAACAGGCACUUUAAAGAAACUGCCAAUGAUAAGUUGGAGGAAGGUGGGGAUCACGUCAAGUCCGCAUGGCCUUUAUAGGUAGGGCUUCACACGUCAUACAAUGGUUAGAACAAAGAGCUGCAAAUUCGUAAGAAGGAGCCAAUCUCACAAACCUAACCUCAGUUCGAAUUGCGGUCUGCAACUCGAGCGCAUGAAGCCGGAAUCGCUAGUAAUCGUGGAUCAGAAUGCCA
rnacentral:rRNA from 1 species